rnacentral:rRNA from 1 species
GAUGAACGCUAGCGGCAGGCUUAAUACAUGCAAGUCGAGGGGCAGCAGGACUGUAGCAAUACAGUUGCUGGCGACCGGCAAACGGGUGCGGAACACGUACGCAACCUACCCAAAACUGGGGGAUAGCCCGGGGAGACCCGGAUUAAUACCUCGUAACCUUUUUAAGUGGCAUCACUUGAUAAGUAUAGCUCCGGCGGUUUUGGAUGGGCGUGCGCCUGAUUAGGUAGUUGGUGCGGGUAACGGCCCACCAAGCCUGCGAUCAGUAACUGGUGUGAGAGCACGACCAGUCACACGGGCACUGAGACACGGGCCCGACUCCUACGGGAGGCAGCAGUAAGGAAUAUUGACCAAUGGACGCAAGUCUGAACCAGCCAUGCCGCGUGAAGGAUGAAGGUCCUCUGGAUUGUAAACUUCUUUUAUGGGGGACGAAACCCGGAUAUUCUUAUCCGAUUGACGGUACCUCAGGAAUAAGCACCGGCUAACUCCGUG